AGUGAACGCUGGCGGUAGGCCUAACACAUGCAAGUCGAACGGCAGCACAGUAAGAGCUUGCUCUUACGGGUGUCGAGUGGCGGACGGGUGAGGAAUACAUCGGAAUCUACUUUUUCGUGGGGGAUAACGUAGGGAAACUUACGCUAAUACCGCAUACGACCUACGGGUGAAAGCAGGGGAUCUUCGGACUUUGCGCGAUUGAAUGAGCCGAUGUCGGAUUAGCUAGUUGGCGGGGUAAAGGCCCACCAAGGCGACGAUCCGUAGCUGGUCUGAGAGGAUGAUCAGCCACACUGGAACUGAGACACGGUCCAGACUCCUACGGGAGGCAGCAGUGGGGAAUAUUGGACAAUGGGCGCAAGCCUGAUCCAGCCAUACCGCGUGGGUGAAGAAGGCCUUCGGGUUGUAAAGCCCUUUUGUUGGGAAAGAAAAGCAGCAGGUUAAUACCCCGCUGUUCUGACGGUACCCAAAGAAUAAGCACCGGCUAACUUCGUG
rnacentral:rRNA from 1 species